UACGGGGGGAGCAAGCGUUGUUCGGAUUUACUGGGCGUAAAGGGCGCGUAGGCGGUCAGCACAAGUCAGUUGUGAAAUCUCCGGGCUUAACUCGGAAAGGUCAACUGAUACUGUGCGACUAGAGUGCAGAAGGGGCAACUGGAAUUCUUGGUGUAGCGGUGAAAUGCGUAGAUAUCAAGAGGAACACCUGCGGCGAAGGCGGGUUGCUGGGCUGACACUGACACUGAGAGACGAAAGCUAGGGGAGCAAAUGGG
rnacentral:rRNA from 1 species